rnacentral:rRNA from 1 species
AAGGGUAAGACCCCAGAAAGACUAUUUGGUUGCUAGCUCGAAGGUGUAAGUGCAGCAAUGUAUUUAGCUUAUCGAUACUAAUAGGUCGAGGACUUGACCAA